ACAACGGAGAGUUUGAUCCUGGCUCAGGACGAACGCUGGCGGCGUGCCUAACACAUGCAAGUCUAGGGAGAAAGGGGUAGCAAUAUCCCGAGUACACCGGCGCAAGGGUGAGUAACACGUAGGCAACCUGCCCUGGGGAUGGGAAUAACCCCGAGAAAUCGGGGCUAAAACCCAAUAAUGCAGCGGCAUCUCAUGAUGAUGUUGUUAAAUGUCGCGAGACGCCUCAGGAUGGGCCUGCGUCCCAUUAGGUAGUUGGCGGGGUAACGGCCCACCAAGCCGACGAUGGGUAGCUGGUCUGAGAGGACGAUCAGCCACACUGGAACUGAGACACGGUCCAGACUCCUACGGGAGGCAGCAGUGAGGAAUAUUGCGCAAUGCCCGAAAGGGUGACGCAGCGACGCCGCGUGGAGGAUGAAGGCCCUCUGGGUCGUAAACUCCUUUGACAGGGGAAUAACGGUUCGCUACAGGCGGACGUGAAUGUACCCUGAAAACAAGCAUCGGCUAACUACGUGCCAGCAGCCGCGGUAAUACGUAGGAUGCGAGCGUUGUCCGGAUUCACUGGGUGUAAAGGGAGCGCAGGCGGGUUGGUAAGUCGGUGGUGAAAUCCUCAGGCUUAACCUGAGAACUGCCACUGAUACUGCUAAUCUUGAGUGUGGAAGAGGCCGAUGGAAUUCCUGGUGUAGCGGUGAAAUGCGUAGAUAUCAGGAAGAACACCGAUGGCGAAGGCAGUCGGCUGGUCCAUUACUGACGCUCAUGCUCGAAAGCGUGGGGAUCAAACAGGAUUAGAUACCCUGGUAGUCCACGCCCUAAACGAUGGAUGCUCGAUGUCGGCCCGCAAGGGUCGGUGUCUCAGCUAACGCUUUAAGCAUCCCACCUGGGAAGUACGAUCGCAAGGUUGAAACUCAAAGGAAUUGACGGGGGCCCGCACAAGCAGUGGAGCAUGUGGUUUAAUUCGAUGCAACGCGAAGAACCUUACCUGGGUUUGAAAGGCUCUGUAAACCGGUGAAAGCCGGCUAGUGUAGCAAUACACGCGGAGUACAGGUGCUGCAUGGCUGUCGUCAGCUCGUGCCGUGAGGUGUUAGGUUAAGUCCUGCAACGAGCGCAACCCCUGCACUUAGUUGCCAUCAGGUCAAGCUGGGCACUCUAAGUGGACUGCCUGCGCAAGCAGCGAGGAAGGUGGGGAUGACGUCAAGUCCUCAUGGCCCUUACACCCAGGGCUACACACGUGCUACAAUGGCCGUUACAACGGGCAGCGAUACCGCAAGGUGGAGCAAAUCCCUGAAAAACGGUCUCAGUUCGGAUUGUGGGCUGCAACUCGCCCACAUGAAGCUGGAAUUGCUAGUAAUCGCGGAUCAGCCACGCCGCGGUGAAUACGUUCCCGGGCCUUGUACACACCGCCCGUCAAGCCAUGGAAGCUGGGGGUACCCGAAGCUGCCGUCCCAACCGCAAGGAGGGAGGCGUCUAAGGUAAAACCAGUGACUGGGGCUAAGUCGUAACAAGGUAGCCGUACCGGAAGGUGCGGCUGGAUCACCUCCUUU
rnacentral:rRNA from 1 species